CAAAGUCAUGGUUAAGUGGGAAACGAUGUGGGAAGGCCCAGACAGCCAGGAUGUUGGCUUAGAAGCAGCCAUCAUUUAAAGAAAGCGUAAUAGCUCACUGGUCGAGUCGGCCUGCGCGGAAGAUGUAACGGGGCUAAACCAUGCACCGAAGCUGCGGCAGCGACGCUUAUGCGUUGUUGGGUAGGGGAGCGUUCUGUAAGCCUGUGAAGGUGU
rnacentral:rRNA from 1 species